GUCACUGUGUCCACGUUCGGACAAUUAUUGGCUAACGUUCUAUCAAAAUAUCUGUUCAAAUAUGAAUAUAAAUGAUCUAUUAAUAUUUUCAGAUAAUUUAAUGGUGUAAAACUAAACCUUUCUAACGGUAUAUAGUUUUAACUGUUUACUUUAGCUUUUACUUUACAUGAGCCGGCUAAAGUACGCUAUCACCGGUAAAUUAGCCAUGCGCUACCCUUGGCCAUAACCGGACAGCGCUAUCUCCUCGCUGUAAACACUGAGUGUUGCUGGUUUUUUUGGGGUGUUAAAGAAAGUCCCAUCAAUGCUGUCAAAACUACCGGAUCUUACUUCUGUCCUUCACAAUAAAAUACCAUGCUUCAACAACUGAAUUAUGCAAUUAAAGCUCCUUAAUUUCCAUUACAGUAAAAAGAGAAACUUUUUAGAGGGAAAGAUCGUCGCCCAAGCGCUCUUACUUCUAUUCCUCAUCAUCGUCACUUUCAUGUACUUAUUAGAUAUCUAAAUGUCCAUGUACAUAUAGGAAUAUUCAUACCUUGAUUGUUAGAUGGGUAUAGAUCAAUUCUGCUGAAAUUUUUGGUGAUGAUCGGAAACGUAAAGUACCACGAAAAGACCGGAUAGCGUAUCAGGUCGGAGGUGUCCGAAUACGGCCAAU